rnacentral:lncRNA from 1 species
GGGCUUUAAGUAAUUUUGUCGGGCCUUUUUGUAAGAUAUGUGUUGGACCAAUUUUCUUUGCCUAGCCCACUAAUCAAACCCAUUAACCACUAGCCCAAUCCUAUAACCCAAAACAGCCCAAAACCAAAACAAAAUUAACCUCAAUAUCCCAAUCCCCACAUCGUACGUGCCUCCACCAUCCACCGUACCUCCAAGACGUGCGCUACUAGCAGUCCUUCUUUGUCACGCCUCGUGCUUCCGAGAUAUCCGCAACAACACCUGUAACAGGAAGCAAACAGAUAGCAACCAAUAGAAGAUUUUAUUUUUUUUCUAGGUUAUAAAAGCCAUUCUAAACAAUGUAAAUGGGUCGAUUUUUGUUUACUACAAAAAAUCAGGGAGAAAUAUACGAAAACAGCAAGUUUUGAGUAAAAGCUUCCAUACAUUCGAAUAGAAUAAGGUGGUUACAAUAUUUUCUUUUAGUUUUUUUUUAUCUUAAGAGCUUUUUGUGGAUCUAUCUUGUAUUUUUGAAAAACAGUUAAAAAAAUAAAAAGAUUUUAGGAGGGCCUUACCUGGACUCCCGUGCGUGCUGUUGGCCACCAAAUCCAGUGGUGGAGCGGCAGCGGUUGAAGGUUGCGAUGAUGGGCGUGGUUCAUGGCCCUAGCAGAAGAAAAAGGGUGAAAGUCCCUUUGUUUUCCUUUCAAUUUUAGCGAAUAGAAAUGGGGGGGUUUCUUUAAUUUUAGUUUUAAAAUGGCAGACAGCCAUCAUUUAUUCCGCCUUUAAUUCUAAGGGGAACAGCUCCAUUUCAUUUUUUGGUUUUAUUGCGCAUUAGGUCCUCCCCUGUUGUGUGAUCACUUGAUUGGGCCCUUUUGAGCUUUUUUCCUUCUUUUUUUAAAAAAUUGGCCCCGAAUAUUUGCGCGCCGAUUCAAUUUGGUACAAGCUGAAACGCUGUGUUUAGGAGGCUUGAGAUAUUUUCCUUUUUACUCCCCAAUCAUUGACGCGCGUCAUAUUUCGGUCCCUAACCUUUUUUUUAUUCUGAUCUUGGCCCAAAAACUCCCAUUUUAAUUUCAAUUAAGCCUCAUUUUGAUUAUUUAAACACUUUUAGCAAAAAAUUAAUUAUUUUUUUUGUUUGUAAUAUUAUUCUUCUAUUUUAUUUCAUUAUAUCCUAUUAUUUUUUUAGUUUUUUAUCCUACCAUUUAUUUUAUUAUUUUUAUUAUACUAUUAUCCAUUAUAUCUAUUAUAUUACUUGUAUAUUGUUUUGGUUCCCCUAAUAAUUUUUUUUACACUUUAUUUUAAACUAUUAUAUUAUUACUAUUAAUCCUUUUUUAAAAGUUAAUUAUUUUGAUCUUUUAUAUCCAUUAGGUAUAUUAUUUAUGUUUACUAAUAAUUAUUGCUUCUGUACUAUUUAUUUUAAAGUGUCACAUUGUUAUUAUUAUUUUUCUUCUAUACAUUUUUUAUUAAUUAUUUUAAAUACAGUUUUUCCAUAUUUUUUUUAUUUUUUUUUCACUACUAUCAUUUUACUAUGUAUACAUCAUCAUUCGACAUAUUAUUUUCACUUCUAUUAUGCAUUUUUCGUAUCGUUAAUAUCUUUAUUGCUAUGUUUGUUAUGUUAUUACAUUUAUUACUAUUGUUAUAAUUAUUGUUGAUUUUCCUUAUAUUUACUAUAUCCUCGGUAUUAAUAUAUACACUGUCAAGUUUAUUGUUUGGCUAUUUUGCAUGUUAUCAUUUUUUUGUUAAGUUUCAACCGCCCCAAAUUCAUUUUUAUUCGAAGAUUAUAGGCAAUAUUUGAUAUUUAGGUUCCUCGGAAGGAUUGUGCCCUAACUUACUGGGUUCCAAUUUUCCUUGUUAAACCUAAAUAAUUGAGUACCCUUCUUAAAUCUAAUUGUAUGAGGUUCAAAUGAAAACCUAUUAUUGAAAUUCGGGACGUUGCACCCUAACUUACUAGGUAUGGCAUCGCGUUAUAUUGAGGAUAGUGAUUUCCAAAAUCAAGGCAGCCUUCGGUAUUUGGGGAGUUCUGAGAGAUUAAACUCUAACUUACUGAGUUCUAAUUUUUCAUGAGUCCCGGAGGACCGAAUAUCCUUCUCUUGAAUCUUCAUACAUGAAUUUUAAAAAUCAAAAACCAGCUUAGUCCCGAAGGUCUGAAAUGUUAAACCUUAACUUAUUAGAUAUGGCAUUUUCCCCCUUCGAGAUGAGUAGGUCUUUACAUUUUAUUCAAUUUAUUCCCUUUUUUUAAUAAAAGGAUCGUACUCUAAAGUCUUUUCAAAUUUUGACACCAAGACAUUAACUAAUCAAAUAGGUACCAAUUUUUGGGCGUUACGAGGGUGCUAAUCUUUCCUCGUACGUAGCUGACUCCCGAGCCCAUUUUCUCAAACUUAGCAGACCAAAAAGAGUUAUUGUUUUAAUAGGCCCAAAUGUUUUAUUAAAACAAUUGAUUUUAAGGUGGCCCAAUCUCACCUUGGAAAAGAUUGGUGGCGACUCCAUUUACAUUUUUAAAGUCGAUCCACAUUUUUCAAAACUUAAAAAUGGUUUCGACAGCUUGGCGACUCCACUGGGGACCAACAAGAGAGUCAAGCCGCGAUUUGAUUACUUUUUGUCUUUUGUCGAAACUUGAAGUUGGUUUUGAGUCUACGAUCCUCUUAUUGCAUUUCAUCUGUUUGGUGUUAUAUUUUUUUUUGGCAUUUUUUUCCCAAAGUUCUUUCAUAUCUUCUGUCAUUGCAUUGCAUGACCAUUGUAGUCACACCUCUUAAGUGGGAGUGAGAAGCUAUUUCCUUCGUGAGGUUUUCACCUCUGUGCAGGUUAGUGGAUUGCUUUCGGGAUAAAUCCGUACCUAUGUCUUCGUGAGGUUUUCACCUCCGUGCAGCCAUAGGGAAAUGUAUCCCCCUGAACUGAACUCGGUCUAUAUGAGCCUAUAAUGGGUGAGGAUCGAGGAAUUUGCUAGUUCAGGUACCUCAACUCUAGAACCAAACCACAUAUAGAGGAACCCUAAGGGCCCACAUUUGGAAGAACUAUGCUAAACCCUAGUGAUUACCCUUAAUAGGUGCUUUUUUUUAUUUUCUUCACUUUGAGUUAUGUUUCUGAUAUAUGAUACUAACUUGCUGUGUUUUGUUUGCCAUAUUUGCAUGUCAUUCCACAUUUGAAAGGUGUCAAUUCGUGUUCAAUUUUCUGAAUUAGAAAGCUCGUCAUGGGGGACAAAUUCCUUGAUAAGGUAGAAAAUAAUGCAGCUGUCCGUAAAUGGUCAGAGAUAACACAAUUAGAGAAGGGAGACAGCCUAGCCAAGGGAUACAAAUCUGAGUUAUGGGAUUAUACUCACAUUAGCGUGACUCAAAAUAAUCAUCGGGAAUUGAAGGAGAUAUGGGAUCAGUGGGAUGAUGAGGUUAAACAAUUAUUCUACUGCAACUAUAAAGAUCUACCGUACCUACUUGGUAUCGAAAUAGACGAACACUUAUUCCGGGACCUUGCUCAGUAUUAGAACCCUGCAUAUAGUUGCUUCACAUUUGGGAGGGUGGAUUUAGUACCCAUGGUGGAGGAGUAUAUAGCUUUAUUAAAUUGUCCGAAGGUACAAGUCGAUAAGGCCUAUUCGAGAGCUGCUUAUGUUUCGGUAUUUUCGAAAAAGUUAAUGAAUAUUACUGGAAUGAGCGAACAGUGGGUUACGGCAAGGAUCAAGCAGAAAGGGGAGUGUAAGUGUAUCCCAUGGAAGAAUUUGUGAGAUUUGAUCCUAACAUAUCCUGAUAUGAAGAAGAAAGUUGACGUCUUUGCCUUGAGUAUUUACGGGUUGAUGCUCUUCCCUAGGGCAUUGGGAUAUGUUGAUGAGGCGGUCAUGGAUCUAUUCGACCGACUAGACAAGGGAGUCACACCAGUUCCUGCAAUUUUAGCUGAGACAUUCAGGUCCUUGAACUUGUGUAGAAGGACCGGCGAUGACAGAUUUAUAGGGUGUGCACAGUUAUUGUUAGUAUGGUUUCACAGUCAUUUUUGGAAGAUAGACAAAGGUCAUUAUAAAGCUUUCUUUGGGAAUUAUUCCCCAUUAAAGGAGAUAGUAGCUACACCCAGAAGAGAUGACAUAUCGGAAGAAAACUGGAUCGCGCUCCUGCGGAAUCUUCAGGGAGAGGACAUUGAGUGGAAAGCACCUUGGUGGAUGCCUAACAAAAUUCUUUUUUGAUGUGGGAGUUUUGAUUGGGUCCCUUUGCUUGAAAUCUGAGGAACCAUUGGAUAUGCUCCCUUGCUCGUGCUUAGGCAAUAUGCAGUAAGACAGUUCAUACCAGUAACCCAUGGGCUUGCUCAAUGCGAAUUUUCAUAUAAGGGAGACUACAAGAAAAGGGUUAAAGAGAUUUUUAAUGCUUGGAAUCAGACUCGUCGAAUGGAAGGGUUGGCUGCAGAUCCGAUGACGACCCCUGAGUAUGAUGGAUGAUUGAGUAGACGAGUUAACGACAAUAUCCCUGGGUCAAGUUUAGAGGAUGCUCAACCGAUAGAGGAGUAUUUGCGAGAAAUUCCCUCUGAAUUAGAAAUUAUAAAAAAGGAUUUUGAGAAGAGAAGUUUAGAGUUGGGGAAAAAGAUAGAGCAACUCGAAGAGGAGAAGGUAUAUCUAAAAUUAGACAUUGACGUCCAGAAAUUAGACGCCGAGAAACUGAGAAAGGGGAAAAGGAAAGCUGAAGAAGACUUGGACAGUCUGAAGAAUGAUUACAAGGAAUUGCAUAUGUCGAUGAGAACUGCCGGGUUAGGAAAAACAUCGAAGCAAUGGUAACAAGAAAUCCAAGAAGAAAAGUCUAAGGCCGAUCAAUAGAAGAGGAGGUUAUGUGAUGCUCGAGCACAAGAGGAAGCCCUUAAAAGAACUACAUCAGAGAGUCAAAGUGAAAAUGAGACGUUAAGAGCUCGAAUAACAGAGUUAGAAAAGACAUUGCAUUAGCAUCAUAGUCGUAACUCUGUAAUGGAAUUAAAAGCUAGCUUAAGUGAGAUCGAGAAUCUGAAGGGGAAGAUAGAAGAAGUUGGGGCUGCGCUACAGGAUUGUGAACACCGAAUUGAAUCACUAGAAGCAAAUAGUAAGCAAUUGGAGGAACAACUUCAUCGGCCUCAGAAUAAGGUUCGAGAUAAAGAUCACCUCAUGGGAGAAGCUAUAGUUCAGAUUCGAGAAGUGGCGGAACAUUUAAAAAUCCUGGCAGUCCAAGCUGAUGUAUUAAGUAUAAAAUAUGAGUCAAUAUCGAACCGAGGUUAAGAGCUGGCUGAACUUCUUUAAAAAGUUAGAGCUCUAGGCAUAAGGGCUAGGCCGUAUAUGUAGUCUAUUUUUUAUGUAAAAGAUUUUGUCUUUUAGUAAAGUUAUUCUAAAUAAAAUUGAAUCAGAUUGACACCUUUUUGCAUUCAUGUCAUGCAUUUGCAUUGUAUAGCAUCAUAAACAUUAAGUUGCACAAAAGAACCCUAUUAAUUAGUGAUAAUUUAUCUAGUUACCCUGGAACAUCGCUACUAUACACGGAGGAAAACAAGGGAUAUGGAUCAGAGGUUAGAGAAAUUAGAACAAAUGCAAAAGGAGAUGCAGGAGAAACUGCAAGCUCAGAUGCAAGAACAGCUGGCUAGGAUCCAGCAGUAGAUGAGGGAUCAAAUGCUGGAGUCCCAGAAAAACAUGCUGGAGUCACAGAACAACAUGAUGAGCCAGCUGACACAGCUGCUGAAGGGAGGGUCUGACAAAGGAAAAGGCCCUAUGGGGGUCAUGGGAAAUGAAAAUGAGGAUUCUGCUUGUCCUACAAGCUUUGCGCCAGUAAACAUGAAAACACAACCACCAAGGGUGUCUGUUAAUGUCCAACCUCUUUAUCAAACUGGUACCUCGGUACCAGUAAACUUCCCAACAGGAUCGAGCACCAACCCUGGAGAUAAUCUAGCAAACCCUCAGGUCCCUGACUUCGAUGACGCAGCAGAGGUGGAAAAGAUAAAGGCUGAAGUCCCAAAACGAUUUGAGGAUUGAUGCAAAUGGUUGGAGGAAAAGUUCAAGGAGUUAGAGAAUGCUGAUCAUUACAGCGGAAUCGAUGCAAAGGAACUGAGUUUGAUCCCGGACUUAGUACUUCCCCCAAAGUUUAAAAUGCCAGAAUUUCAAAGAUAUAACGGAACUAGCUGCCCUGAGGCUCACAUUACGAUGUUUUGUCAAAGGAUGACGGGGUAUGUCAACAAUGAUCAACUGUUGAUCCAUUGUUUUCAGGACAGUUUGAGUGGGGCUGCAGCGAAAUGGUACAAUCAGUUGAGCCGUGCUCAAGUCAAAUCAUGGAAGGAUUUGGCGCAGGCCUUCAUAAAACAGUAUGGCCAUAUGACUAAUAUAGCACCUGACAGGAUUACAUUACAGAACAUGGAGAAAAGGUUAGGUGAAAGCUUCAGGAAAUAAGCCUAGAGGUGGAGGGAAGUCGUUACGCAAGUCCAACCACCACUACUGGAAAAAAAAACGACUAUGCUUUUUAUUAAUACCUUGAAGGCACCUUUCAUUAAUCAUAUGUUGGGGAGCGCAACUAAGAGUUUCGCAGACAUAGUGAUGUCUGGCGAAAUGAUAGAAAAUGUAAUAAGGUGCGGGAAGAUAGAAACAGGAGAAAGCACGAGAAGGUCAGCCCCAAAGAAAAAGAAAAACGAGGUAAGCAACGUGAGUUCAGGCUAUUCAAAACCUGUCACCGUUAAUCAAUCGAGAACGAUAGUCAUAGGCCAGCAGGCCACACCAAGGCGAGAGCCUAACACAAGUCAGAAUACAAAGAGGUUCCAGUUCACUCCUAUACCAGUGACGUAUAAGGAGCUGUAAAAAAAGCUGUUCGAUGCACACGUAGUGGCCCCUUUCCACUUAUAACUGUUACAACCCCCAUACCCUAAAUGGUAUAAUGCAAAUGCUCAGUGCGAAUACCACGCAGGGAUUACGGGGUACUCGAUAGAAAACUGUACCUUGUUCAAAAGGUACGUAUAAAGGCUUAUCAAAGUAGGUGUUGUAAAAUUCGAUGAUACACCUAGUACGGGAAAUCUGUUGCCCAGUCACACUGAUAAAGGGGUAAACGCGAUAAUUGAGAAUGUGAGGAGGAAAGCCAAGCUGAAUAUUGCGGAUAUGAGAACCCCAUUGAAGCUAGUUUGAAAGGAAAUGCAAAAGAGAGGUUUAGUCCCGCAGGGGUUGGGGAAUAAAAUCCAAGAUACACGGAACUACUGUGAGUUCCAUUAUGAGAAAAAUCACGAAAUCCAGAAUUGUAUUGAGUUCAGGGCCCUAGUACAGGGUCUAAUGGAUAAUAAGGAAUUGGAGUUCCUCGAGUCUGUCGAAGAGGAGGAUGUAUGCUCUCUAGGAGGAGAGUCAAGUGAAGAAGGCUGCAAAGCCAGCCAUCCAGUGAUAAUUAUUUCGAAGCCCAGAGUUAGUGAAGUAGAAGCAAGAGUCACACCAAGAGUUGUAAUCCAGAAGCCAAUAGCUCCCCCUUAUAAAGAUAGUCGUAGGAUGCCUUGGAAUUAUAACUGUAGUAUAGCAGUUUCAGAGAAAGAGGGUUCGAUUGACACGCUAAACACAGAGGCCGAAUCAGCAAAAGAGAAACCCAUCAUGCUCAAGCAAGAAGUCGAGAGAUCAGAACCACUGGUUAAUGAGCCAGUACAAGAAAAUGAAGCCAAGGAGUUCUUGAAGUUCCUAAGACACAGCGAGUAUAGUGUUGUGGAACAACUACACCAAAAAUCGAAUCGCAUAUCGGUAUUGGCUCUGCUGUUAAAUUCAGAGGUCCACCGCAAUGCAUUGAUGAAAGUGUUGAACAAAACCUAUGUUGCGGAUGACAUUUCGGUUAACAAAUUGGAUCGUCUUGUCGGCAGCAUAAGUGCUGACAAUUUCAUCUUCUUCAGUGAUGAGAAGAUACCGCCAGGGGGUAGGGGGUCUACUAAGGCUCUGCAUAUUACUACACGUUGCAAGGGGUAUACGCUACUCGGAGUGCUAGUUGAUAAUGGGUCCGCAUUGAAUGUGUUGCCUUGGGCUACGUUAAACCGUUUACCUAUAGACAAUUCCCAUAUGAAGACGUGUCAGAACAUAGUAAGAGCAUUUGAUGGCACAGAAAGGAAAGUAAUUGGAAGGAUAGAAGUACCUCUUCAGAUUGGCCUAAAUGCGUACGAGGUAGAUUUCCUCGUGAUGGAUAUUAAGCCUUCCUAUAACUGUGUAUUAGGAAGACCUUGGAUUCACUCAGCCGGGGCAGUGCCAUCCUCGCUGCACCAGAAGCUAAAGAUGGUUACUGAGGGUCGGCUAAUAACAAUAAAUGCAGAUGAGGACAUUAUUGCGUCAGUUACCAGUGAUGCACCCUACGUAGAGAAUGACAACGAAGUGGUUGAAUGUUUAUUUAGAUCAUUAGAGUUUGUAAACGCAACAUUUAUAGCUGAAGAAAGCAGGAUUCCGAUACCUAAGAUAUCAAUGGCUACGAAAAUGAGCCUGCAGCUGACAGUUGGGAAAUGAGCAUUACCUGGCAGAGGACUCGGGAGGCACCUCCGUAGACAAAUUAGAGUGCCAAUCUUGGUUAGCAAGUGGGAUCGCUUCAGUUUGGGAUUCAGGCCAGUGAAGAAGGAGUUUGAAAGGAAACAAGAACAGCGGAGAGCGAGAUUGAGUGGGACAGAAGUCAGGUGGGAACCGAUGAGCUUCCUCCACAUUUCUCAAACAUUUGUAUCUGGAGGGUUUAUUCAUUCUAUACAUGAGAGGAUAAAAGAAGGAAUGGUCGAGGAUGUGAUGGGAAUUUGGAACAUCAACGCCACGUUUGAAGAGGAAGCAAUGGAAAUAAAUUUAUCAGGCAUUUGCCCGUAUGAGCCUGGGAGUGUUUUGGAUAACUGGACUGAGGAAGAAAUUCCUGUAAUCUUUAGAGCUAACACAGAGUAAUAUUCAAAACCCACUUGUUGUCUUCUAGCCUAGGGACAAUAAGAAUCUUUUGUGAAAUAGGCCCAUGUUCAAACAUUAUUAUUUUCAAUAAAAAAUGCAUUUUCAUAUAUCGGUUCGAGCAAUUAUUCUUUCUUCUUUUUCAUUUCAUACACAAUCAUACCAUACAAAGGAAUUAUUCAUUUCGUUUUCUUUGGGUAUUCUCUUAUACUCAUAAUAGGCCCUCAGAUGUCAACGUCAUGAGUAAUGCUGAUGUGAGCCCAGAAUCUCCUUUUGAGCGAGACAUGUGCUUUGAGGGAUUUCAAGAUUUUAAAGAGGACGAGGAUUGUGGUUUAUCUCCCGAUUUUUUAAGGAUGGUGGAGCGAGAAGAGGAACAGAUCCUGCCACACAAAGAGACUACUAAUAUUGUGGCCCUGGAAGAGGGGAAGGAAGUCAAAAUUGGCACUUGCGUUAACGAGAAAACAAGACAGAACCUCAUUGAACUGUUACAAGAAUUCAAGGACGUCUUUGCAUGGUCAUACUAGGAUAUGCCUGGUCUAAGUACCGAUGUCGCAGUGCAUCGUGUCCCUACAAAAAAUAAUUGCAAGCCAGUUCAGCAGAAGCUCCGAAGGAUGAGACCCCGAUGUAGCAAUGGAAAUAAAGGAAGAAGCCAAGAAACAGUUUAAUGCUAGAUUCCUACAGGUGGUCAAUUAUUCAGAAUGGGUGGCCAACGUUGUCCCUGUCCCUAAGAAAGAUGGGAAAGUGCAGAUGUGUGUAGAUUAAAGAGAUUUAAACAAGGCCAGCCCAAAGGAUAACUUUUCAUUGCCUCACAUAGGAUAACUUUUCAUUGCCUCACAUAGACACUCUAGUGGAUAAUACGGCAGGCUAUUCACUGUUCUCCAUCAUGGAUGGGUUCUCCGGGUACAAUCAGAUCAAGAUGCAUCAUGAGGACAGGGAAAAAAUCACAUUUAUAACUUUAUGGGGAAUGUUUUGCUACAAGGUGAUGCCCUUCAGGUUGAAAAAUGCAGGACCCACAUACCAAAAAGCCAUGGUAACCUUGUUCCAUGACAUGAUGCACAAGGAAAUUGAGGUCUACGUUGACGACAUGAUUGUAAAAUCCCAAACUGAAGAGGAGCAUGUGCGAGUGUUGAGGAAAUUAUUCCUGAGGUUGAGAAAAUUUCAAUUAAAGCUCAAUCCGUCAAAAUACACCUUCGGAGCUAGGUCCGGAAAGCUACUCGGCUUCGUAGUCAGUGAAAAGGGAAUAGAAGUCGACCCUGAUAAAGUCAAGGCUAUACAGGAGCUGCCUCCGCCACGAACUCAGAAAGAAGUUUGAGGUUUCCUAGGGAGACUAAACUAUAUCGCACGGUUUAUUUCACAACUGACUGAGAAGUGUGACCCCAUAUUUCGUAUUCUUAAAAAGCACAAUCCUGGGGUAUGGGAUGAUGAAUGCCAAGAAACCUUUGAAAAGGUUAAACAAUAUUUGUCCAGUCCUCCAGUGCUAACACUACCAAGCCCUGGUAGACCAUUGAUACUGUACUUAACAAUAUUUGAUAAUUCGAUGGGGUGUGUGCUCGGCCAACACGAUGAGACUGGGAGAAAAAAAGAGCGAUAUAUUAUCUCAGUAAAAAAUUCACUGAGUGUGAAAUGAGGUAUCCGCCAAUUGAGAAGCUCUGUUGUGCUUUGUUUUGGACAACACGAAGGUUGAGGCAAUACAUGUUGUACCAUACAACUUGGCUAAUCUCAAAGCUAAACGCUCUCAAAUACAUGAUGGAGUCAACAUUUUAAAUGGAAUGAUGGCCCGAUGACAGAUUCUACUCUCUGAAUUUGACAUAGUCUAUGUAAACCAAAAAGCUGUGAAGGGGAUUGCAAUAGCAGACUUCCUAGCCAGUAGAGCUUUGGAGGACUAUGAACCUUUGAAUUUCAGUUUCCCCAAUAAAGAUCUAGUGUAUGUAGCAAUCGCUGAAGGAGACAUGCCUGAAGAUCAUUCUUGGAAAUUAAAUUUUGACGGAGCAUCAAUUGCCGUUGGAAAUGGAGUUAGGGCAAUACUGAUAUCCCCAAAUGGAUAUCAUUAUUCAUUCACUUGCAAGCUGGAUUUUGACUGCACAAAUAAUAUGGCAGAAUACGAGGCAUGUAUCAUGGGAAUUGAAGCAGCUAUAGAAGGCGAAAUCAAAGUACUAGAAGUUUAUGGAGAUUCUGCAUUGGUAAUUUAUCAACUUAUAAGCGAGUGGGAAACAAGAAAUCCCAAAUUGAUCAGUUACCGAAAGCUAAUCCUGGAGUUAAUUGAAGAGUUUGAUGACAUUACCUUUCAUUACCUCCCCAAGACGAGAAUCAGAUCGCUGACGCCUUGGCUACACUAGCUUCCUUGAUCAAAGUAAAUAGACAGGAGGAUAUGAAGCCAAUUCAAAUGAGUAUCUGUGAGGCUUCAGCUCACUACUGUAAUAUCGAUGAAGAGGAAGAGAGAGAUGAUCAUCCUUGGUAUCAUGAUAUCUUACAAUAUGUGAAGAGCCGUACGUACCCAGAUCAAGCAACCGAAAAUGAUAAAAGAACAUUGAGGAGGUUAGCCAGUGACUAUGUCCUAGACGGUAAGGUCCUAUAUAAGAGGAGAAAAGAUCAGGAGUUGCUAAGAUGUGUUGACGCUGUUGAGGCAAAGAAAAUUCUAGAGGAAGUCCAUGAUGGUGUCUGUGGGACACAUGCCAAUGGUUUCACAAUGGCUCGACAGAUCAUGAGAUUCGGAUAUUACUGGUCUACAAUGGAAGGAGAUUGUAUCAAUUACGCUAAGAAGUGCCAUAAGUGUCAAAUUUAUGGAGACAAGAUCUAUGUGCCUCCUUCACCCCUCCAUUUUAUGACUUCCCCAUGGCCAUUCUCAAUGUGGGGCAUGGACAUCAUUGGGCCGAUUUCGCCAAAGGCUUCCAAUGGACAUCGAUUCAUUUUUGUGGUCAUUGACUACUUUACCAAAUGGGUAGAGGCUACUUCGUACGCCAAUGUCACAAAGUCGGCGGUCAGCAAGUUCUUGAAGAAAGAGAUCGUAUGCCGUUAUGAUAUGCCAGAAAGAAUCGUAUCUGACAACGCGUUGAAUCUGAACAAUAGCGUAAUAACAGAAGUCUACAGCCGGUUCAACAUUAAACAUCACAACUCGUCACCAUACCGCCCGAAAAUGAAUGGGGCGGUUGAGGCAGCUAAUAAGAACAUCAAGAAGAUUGUGGGGAAGAUGGCAGAGACCUACAAAGAUUGGCAUAAAAAGCUCCCAUUUGCCCUUUAUGCUUAUCGGACAUCUGUCAGAACUUCUACUGGGGUAACACCUUUCUCAUUAGUUUAUGGGAUGGAGGCAGUUUUACCUAUUGAGGUCAAAAUCCCUUCUCUUCGAGUUUUAUCAGAGCUGAAGUUGGACGAAGCAGAAUGGAUCCAAUCUCGUUACAAUCAACUAAACUUGAUUGAAGAGAGGAGGCUGAAUGCUAUUUGUCAUGGUCAAAUGUACCAGAGGAGAAUGAUGCGAGCCUACAACAAAAAAGUUCGCCCUAAGGUAUUCCAUAAGAGGGACUGAGUAUUGAAAAAGAUUCUCCUUAUGCAGAAAGAUUUCAGGGGGAAAUGGAUGCCAAAUUGGGAAGGACCCUAUGUGGUAAAAAAAGCUUUCUCUGGAGGGGCAUUGAUACUAGCAGAGAUGGAUGGCAAGAGCUUGCCUAACCCGAUAAAUUUAGAUUCUGUCAAAAGAUAUUUUGCUUGAAGCAGUUGAGGUGAAAACCCGUAAAGGGCGCAAAAAAAAAGGGAGAGGCCAAGGUGAAAACCUGUAAAAGGGCGCCUUAAGACCAAAGGGGUUUUUGAAUUGAAAACCCACAAAGGGCAAUUCAAAUUUCAAUCCAAACUGGGGCAAGCGGCAGUCUCACUACACUUGAAUCGACAAAGAAGAGAUAAGCUACAUCUUGGGGCAUCAACAAAAUGCUAUAGAUCCCUUAAGAGUGUGCCAAGUUUAAAAGGGUCCUCAAGGAGUUCGUACAGGAAAGCUCAAACUGUGAAAUCUGGGGCACCUAUUCUGUUCCUUUCAUCCGUUUUUAUAUCUCAAACAAUGUCUACUUUCUUUGUUGAUACAUCUUUCGCAAAUUUUGACUCGAAUAAAUUUCAGUUCUACCUAUCAUUAUAAUCUUUUUCGAGUAUUUUUAUUGAAAUAAUGAUUAAUGAACUAAUAAUGCUCUCAAAAGAAGGUUUUGCAUAUUACUUUGAAAGGUUUCUAAACAAUACGAGAACCUAAAACAGGACAAUUAUUUAGAACUCACCGAGCUUAAAAGGGCUAGAAACGUGUGAGAAAUAAUUGAUUAACCGCAUCUUCAAGUCCUCUUUUACCGAGCUGAACAAAAAGGCAUAUGUCAGGGAUGUUACCUUAGUAAAUAACAAGCGAUGACAGCCCAAAAGUUAAAAUGGAUCAUUCUCAUGACAUUGUGCAUUUUGUGCAUUUAACAUCCAUCAUACAUGUAGUUAGGAGCAUUUGAUUCAUAUUAAUCAUGGCAACCUAAUCAUCUAGCAUAAGCAUAUCACUCUUCUACAGAUGGAUUCCCAGUGGACAAGGUAGCAAGAUUACAGAUAUCAUCAGCCUUAUCUUCACUGGGCAGGAGUGGAGCAGGCUAAAUAUCAGAUCUUAUCUUCAUUGAGCAGGAGUGAAGCAGAUCAAAUUUUGGAGAAUCUUAUCUCCACGUACCGGCGAUGGAGCAGAUUCCAAUCAUCAGCUUUAUCUUCACUGAGCAGGAGUAGAGCAGGCUAAAUAUACCAGGUCUUAUCUUCACUGAACAGGAGCGGAGAAGAUCAAAUUUUGGUGAAUCUUAUCUCCAUGGAUCGACAAUGGAGCAGAUUUCAGCCACCAGUCUUAUCUUCACUGAGCAGGAGUGAAGCAGAUCAAAUUAUAGCAAAUCUUAUCUUCGUUGAGCAGGAGCGAAGCAGAUCAGAUUUCAGCAGAUCCCACCCCACUGAACAGGAAUGGAAUGGAUCAAGUCUCAAUAAAUCGUAUAUCUACAAAGUAGCAAUGAAGCAUCUGGAAGUAAUAGGAUGCAGGGGGUUAAAACGAGGCUACUUGAAGAAAAGAGGCAAUCAAGAAAUCAAGACAUGAUGGGGCCAGGCAAAAUUGGCCCUUCUAAGUCUUUGCUCUAUUCUCGUUACACGACAAUGAGCAAAGAGGGGCAGCUGUUGGACCAAUUUUCUUUGCCUAGCCCACUAAUCAAACCCAUUAACCACUAGCCCAAUCCUAUAACCCAAAAUAGCCCAAAACCAAAACAAAAUUCACCUCAAUAUCCCAAUCCCCACAUCGUACGUGCCUCCACCAUCCACCGCACCUCCGAGACGUGCACUACCAACAGUCCCUCUUUGUCACGCCUCGUGCUUCCGAGAUAUCCGCAACAACACCUAUAACAGGAAGCAAACAGAUAGCAACCAAUAGAAGAUUUUAUUUGUUUUUCUAGGCUAUAAAAGCCAUUUUAAACAAUGUAAAGGGGUCAAUUUUUGUUUACUACAAAAAAUCAGAGAGAAAUAUACGAAAACAGCAAGUUUUGAGUAAAAGCUUUCAUACAUUCGAAUAGAAUAAUGUGGUUACAAUCUUUUCUUUUAGUUUUUUUUAUCUUUAGAGCUUUUUGUGGAUCUAUCUUGCAUUUUUGAAAAACAGAGUUAAAAAAAAUAAAAAGAUUUUAGGAGGGCCUUACCUGGACUCCCGUGCGUGCUGCUGGCCACCAAAUCCAGUGGUGGAGCGACAGCGAUUGAAGGUUGUGAUAAUGGGCAUGGUUCAUGGCCCUAGCAAAAGAAAAAGGGUGAAAGUCCCUUUG